rnacentral:tRNA from 1 species
GGGGUUGUGGCUCAGUGGUAGAGUACUUGCUUAGCAAGUAUGAGGCACUGGGUUCAAUCCUCAGCCCCA